rnacentral:tRNA from 2 species
GCGCGCGUGGCGAAAUUGGUAGACGCGCCAGGUUUAGGUCCUGGUGCCGGUGACGGCGUGAGGGUUCGAGUCCCUCCGCGCGCA